rnacentral:rRNA from 1 species
UACGGAGGGUACAAGCGUUAUCCGGAUUUACUGGGCGUAAAGCGUUUCGUAGGCGACUUCUUAAGUUAUUCUUCAAAGCCCGGGGCUCAACCCCGGAUCGGGGAGUAAUACUGAGAGGAUUGAAAUAUUUCGGGGCAACUGGAACUAUUGGUGUAGGGGUGAAAUCCGUUGAUAUCAAUAGGAACUCCAAGGGCGAAGGCAGGUUGCUAGGAAUCAUUUGACGCUGAGGAACGACAGCUAGGGGAGCGAAAGGG